rnacentral:rRNA from 12 species
CCACACCAUCCUGCAAGUGCCAAAUCCCAUCAGAUCUUGGAAUAAAGCAGGGGUGGGCCUGGUUCUUCCUUGGGUAGGAGGCCGCCUUAGAAGACGAGGGG